CUUAUACUCCCUCCGUUCGGAAUUACUUGUCGCAGAAAUGGAUGUAUCUAGACAUAUUUUAGUUCUAGAUACAUCCAUUUUCGAGACAAGUAAUUCCGAACGGAGGGAGUAUUUA
rnacentral:pre_miRNA from 1 species